GAAGUUUCGACACACCUCCUUUAAUAAAGGCCCAUAAAAGCCCUGGAUUCAGCCAGACGAGGAUACAAUGGGACGGCUAGCUGCGGAGAGAAGCUACCUGCUCAAGAGUCUCCCUUUUGCUGAGAGCUGAGUAGAUGACGAAACAACCUGUGUGGAGAGAGGAGCUCCUCACUCCAGGGUCUCCUCUCUGCUCAGAGCUGAACACUCACUGGGACACCCUGGCUGUGGAGAGGAGCUACCCUCUGUGGGUCUCCUCUGAGCUGUUCUGUCACCCAAUAAAACUCCUCUUCACCUUGCUCACCCU
rnacentral:lncRNA from 1 species